ensembl:lncRNA
AUCAUUGCAAGGUUCUAUAUAUAUAUAUAUAUAUAAGCUAUAAAAAGUAUUUUAACUGGAAUGUCUCAAAAAUAGUGCAGGCUGCAUACAAAUAAGAGAUGGAGACACAUUCUUAGACUGGAACGGAAAAAUCAAUACAAGGUGAGGGAGUGACACGAGAGAUGAAGAAGGUUUAAAAAUUGUAUGUAACCUCUUUCUAAGAAAUAGCUUCACUCCAUUUUCACGGCCUGUGUUGCUCUGCCUUUCUUUGUAGCCGGCCUUUUCCUCCUGACUUGCAAAGGGAUGGAGAGAGAAACAGCAGUCUUACAGCCAUGGUAGCAGCUACACAAGGUUGCAUUAACCACAGGGUUAAUUUGAGCUAAAUGCUAAAGUCAGCAUACUAACAAGCCCACAAUGCUAAUAUGGUGAUUUUUAGCAGGCAUGUUUAUAUUUUUAGUUUAGCAUGCUAACAUUUAGUAAACUAAAGUGAUGGACAAAUUGAAAUUCUGACCCGAUGAUGGCGCCAUGAAAAGUUAGGGUAUCACUAAAGUUAUUACAGUUCAUCCUGGGUGGUUGACAUGAAUCUGUACUAACAGUUGUUAAGUCAAAAUCACAAAUGCCAACCUCUUGGUGGCGCUAGAGCACUUGAGUCAGGGGUCACUGAAGUCUGUAUGAUAAUUCCACACCCACUAUCAUCAAAAGGGAGAUGGACUCAAAAUAUGAGGUUGUGGGUAGAACAGUAAUGGAGAGAGCGUGGGAGAGAGUGAACACAGGGUGCAACAGAAGGAUGGAGAAAUGUGAGCUACCAGGAUACUCCAAGAGUAAAGUUUUGUUUCCAGAGUCUGGGACCAAACUCUAUCCACCCUCGCCCCCACAGAGUGGGGUUUAUCAGAGACUACCUCCAGAAUUUGGGAGUGGAGUGGAUGGAAUGGCCUGCCAGCAGUCCUGACCUCAACCCUGUUGAACACUUGUGGGAUCAGCUUGGGCGUGCUGUUCGUGCCAGAGUGACAAACACAACCACGUUGGCGGACUUGUGACAAACGCUGGUUGAAGAAUGGGAUGCCACCCCACAGCAGUGUGUGACCAGGCUGGUGACCAGCAUGAAGAGGAGGUGCCAGGUUGUUGUGGUUCUUCCACACGCUACUAAUGCUCCUCUUUGAUAAAUUACUAAAUUGUUAAAUUGCCAAUAUGUCUUGUUUCUUCAGACUUCAAUCAUCCAAUAUACCAAACAACACCAAAUAAGAGUCAACAGCAAAGAAAGGCUGUUUGGUAUUGGCAGAGAAGAUUUGGCAAAUUUUUCAUGGGCGCAACCCACAUACUCAGCUCUGCUGCUCAUCCCACAAAUGCAUGUUCCUUACAAAUGUGGCACCAUUUAAAAGGGAAAUAAUCAGGCUUUCUAGUGCUAUAAGAUUUAUUGCUAAGAAGCAUUGUUACAACAAAGAAAUAAUCUACCAAACAUAAAUUUAAAAUAAAUACUCCCACUCCUUGGGUUGUUAUGAAGAAAGAGGAACUGGCAUAUUGGCUAUAGAGCCCUUUAAUGAAUACUGCAUUGAGAUUAUAUUAUUUGAGACAAUGUUUCAUUCCUUUCUCACUUUUCCCUGAUUUUUGUAAAUAUUUGACUUAGUCUUGGAAACAUGUGUUAGUGUGUAUGUAUGCUCAAUCAGUGUGUGUGUGUGUGUGUGUGUGUGUGUGUGUGUGUGUGUGUGUGUGUACGUAUGCUCAGUGAGUGUGUAGGUGUGUGUGUGUGUGUCCUCGUAUUCUCUUAUCUGUCUGUCCUUGAGCUUGCGCCUGCCAGACAAACCUGGGUAAGCCUGCAAACACAGAGUAUAGCAGCAAUCAUGCUUUCGGUGUAGGAGAGUAGCAGUUUUUCUUUAAUAUUUCUCCCACCUCUGUCCAGAUAGAAUCAAAGUCCUGUGUAGAUGUCUCACUGUGCUUGGCAGCUGAAUCAAGCAGACUUUCACAAUGAAGGGUUUCAAACUGGUUCAAAUCACUGUGUUUUCUGAUCUUACAACCCCAUGUUUUAAGGUUUGGUUAGGUUUGUGCACAAAAACAACUCGGUUAAAGUUAUGGAAAGAUCGUGGUUUGGGAUAAAAUUACGUCAAUAAGAUUAGGGGACCUUCUUCGUCAUGGUAACAAUAAUAACCACUUGGUUAAGGUUAGAGAGUGACCAUGUGACCACUGUUGGUAGGAAGCAGGAAGUGAACAGUGGUCUCAAACAUUGGGUUCACCCACUCGCCACCCAGACUGCCUCCCUCUGUAGACUCAGUGUUUCUAUAACAAUGACACAUUACUUCUUCCUUUGCUCCAGACAGACAAGAGUCAUAAUUACUCAGGCUGCUUGAGGACUUUGUCACUUAAACCUAAACACAUGUUUUGGGGCUUUUGCUGAAGCAACUGAUGUUUUUUCGUUUUUCUAGGAAGGACAGUCUCAGUGAUAGUUGCUUAUUUGUGUCAUGUCCAGAUAGACACAUAGACUUAAAAGGCACCAAAAAGACUGUCAACAACAAAGGUCAGAAAGAAUAGUGCUUUUUCAUAUAGCAUUACAUUGUAAAAAAAAUAACUGUCUUUCUCUCAAGCUCUACAAAUAAAUAAUGCCACAAAAAGGCUCCAUUCCUAAAACACAAUAAAAGUAUUUUAUGAUCUUCUAACCAACAAAUCAUCAGAGAAGUGAGAAGUUUUAUUAGAAAGUUUUUAAAUCAGAUUAUAAUGAUUAUAGCACUUGUUUUGAUGCACAUUUUCAAUUUGUGCAUAAAAAAAACUGGAAAAGUUUAGGUAUUGCAAAAUAUGUUUGGCUAAGGUGGAAAAGUUGGUGUAAGCAAAAAUGUGACAAAGUGCAAUGGAAGUAGAGAAUAGAGCAUGACGUUCAUGAAGCAUGUGACUUAAACAUCCACUGACGCUGCUGCACCUGACUGGAGAAAAAGCAACAACAACCAUUUUAUCUCGAGGAACUGACUCCUAAUAUUCGCACAAUAUCAUUUCUACAUUUGUUUUGCUUCAACAUAAUUGUUAUGUUGUUUACUGAUUUAUUUGUUUCUUAUCUUUAACCCCUUUUUUAGUUCUUACAUACCUUUUUUGGAUUUGAACAAUUCUUCAUUCAAUCUGUUACUUUGUUUUGAUAUUACCUGUGUGCCUAUUAUUUGGUUUCCUAAUAACCUCGCUGCCAUACACAAUUAUAUGGACUAUUAUCUUCUUUAGUGCGACCAAUUGAUCUGCCUGUUUCCAAUGUUAAUAAAUGUUGCUGAAAUCCACUGUGUACAUAGAGACUUUCUCUGUUAUACUGUACCAAAGCCAAAGAAAAUAUUUUCUCAUUGACUGGUAGGUUUUUAUGUUUUAAAAACAACCAUUGGUAAUAGCGGCAGAGCGGUUUCCUGCACGUUCUACAUUUCAAGUUAAUUCUCACUGUUAAAUCAAAUCUAAUCAAGAGAUAAAGUGAGUCCAAGACCUGUGAGGCAACAGUUUACUCUGUGAUUCAGCCAAUUCCCCCUGUGAUGUAACAUCUGGCCGCAUGCUGCAACAGUUCACUUGGCGAUGUGGCACAGCAGUUGAAGCUGUGAUACAGCUGUUUGUGCUGUGUUGUAGUUUCCUCAUUGGGUCCUCUCAUGCGGCUGUGGUUCCUAUAAUGCAGGUGUGUUUUCUGUGAGGCAGCAGUUUAUACUGCGAUGCAGCAGAGGGCCUUCUGACGUAACAGUGAGCUUUACAAGUUAGCACAGCUUUGAGUGAUUGGGUGCCAGAUUUCCUAAACGGAUUUGGCAGUAGCUAUCAAUCCAUGUAUGUGAAAAUCUUUAAUUAUGGCACAGUAAGAAGAUUACACCUAAUCUACUUAAGGUUUAGAUUAUUACCCUAAUGUAUAGGCAAUACACUGUAUGAUCUCAACAUGAGACAUAAUGUGACAUAUCACACAUUAUGUCGAAUUUAAAAAACACAGAGCUUGCAUUAAAUUGUAAAUAUGAAUUUGACACUUGUGGUGGUUUUCAUCUGCUGUUUAAAGUAUUUCAAUAUAAGUGGCAUGCAAACGUGUGAAGUAUUAUUUGUGGUGUGGAGGGUUUUGUGGGAAUGAGGCAGAAGUGAACAAGAACAGUUGCAGACAUAUAUACAAACCAAUCUUUAUAGCUAAGCAUAUCCAUUUCAACAUACCCAACAAGCUGACUAUAAACAGCCACCAACAACAAAGUUCAACUCAAGUCAAUGUUAUUUAUAGAGCCCAAUAUCAAAAAUGGAUUUGGUUAAGGAAAAAGUCCCCAAAAAACCAUUUAACUGGAGAUAAAACGGAAGAAACCUCAAAAGAACAAGAGAGAAGGGAUCCCUACAGUAUGGAUGAUCCGGAUCACAAAAUUAUAAAUGGAUUAAACAUGUAUACAAAAACAGUAGUAGUAACAAUAGUAUCACACUAACAAUAGGAAUCUUGACCAAAUCUUACAUUUGAACAUUAAUGAGAAUGCUGUGUUUAAUUUUUUAUCACUUCCAUCAAACACUUGACCACACAACUUGAACUCACCAUACAUGCAGUUUGACUGACUGGCUAGCCUCAGCAAAGCAAAAGUAAUCACAUGUAAAUGAUUUAAGUGGUCAAAAAUAGGCGGAUUUCACAGAGAACAUGCAGGGAAUGUCUUAAUCUCACCUUUAACUGGCCUCUCAAACUGCUAAUCUCUCAGAAAUAUCUACAGCUCCUGGACACCGUGUCUGUGUGCUGCAUGUACCAACAAUUAGCCACGGGUAAUUAGCAGCACCACCGGUCAGCGCGUAAUAAAGCAACGAGUCACGGCUGACGUCAUGGCUUCAUGCUGUUAUCCACAUUAUGGUGUCUGACAUUUUUAAAAGCAGCCAUUAAUCAUGGAUAACUAGUGUACCAGCAGAUGACUUGUCUGAAGCCAGUAACUGACUUUAUUGCUCAUAUCACGUUGCAAAUGCCUGUGUGUACACGUGUGUCCAGAACAUUUACUAUAAAUGUUAAACCUAUUUUAACACAAAAAGUACAAGAAGAUAUGUGAUUAAUCAAAAAUGAAUAAUAGUAUCAAUUGAUUGUGGAUGUAAUUUAACCUUAUUCCUUACAUAAAAGUAGAUAUUGGCGCAAUUUCUAAAAAUACAGCCUAAUUAAUUAGGUCUUUUUGGCCAACUUUGUUAUUGUAAUACUACUAUUUGCAGUCUUAGCCAUUUAUUCAUUACUUU